GUUUCUCGGUACAUUAAUCGAUAAAUCUGGAUGAAGAAGAUGAGGAGGAAGACGAAGACUCAACAAUAACAAGAACAACGAGCUGGGUUACUUGGAACAGUAGCAGAAGAAGAUCAUCGUCGAUAUCCUCUGCCCGAGGUGGUCUGUUUGUCAAGGGAGGAAUCGAAGUUCUAAGAACAACAAAUCUGGGUCGAAAUUUGCUUCUGAUUCUAAAAGUGGAUCUCGAAAGAAAAUCGAAUGUCAAUGCUGUAGGAUACCAUUCCCCUUUUGUUGAACUUCAGGGUUUUAUUCAUUAGAGUUGGGAGAUUGAAGCUAGCUAGAGUUAAGCAAGAGUAUUGCUGGGAGCUUAACUGGUAAGGUUUUCUGUCAAAAAUGAUUCUUUGUAUUCUUUAUAUCAUUCAUAAAAAAUGGUUG